rnacentral:rRNA from 1 species
UACGGAGGGUGCAAGCGUUGUCCGGAUUUAGUGGGUUUAAAGGGUGCGUAGGUGGCUUGUUAAGUCCGGGGUGAAAGCCCACAGCUCAACUGUGGAACUGCCCUGGAUACUGGCGAGCUUGAGUCCAGACGAGGUUGGCGGAAUGGAUGCUGUAGCGGUGAAAUGCAUAGAUAGCAUCCAGAACCCCGAUUGCGUAGGCAGCUGACUAGGCUGGUACUGACACUGAGGCACGAAAGCGUGGGGAGCGAACAGG